GUCACGGUCUGCAGAGACAGGCCGUGUGGUGGUGUGUGUGAUGGACCCAGGUGCGUACACAAGUGAGUAGACGGGAGUGAACUUAACAGAAAGCGAGCCUUUAUUAUGGCUGAAGACAAAGUGUACAAACACAGCAGGGAUAGCGUGACUAACUAGACUAUAACUAAACUGGGAAAACUAGUACUGUGACAAACUAAGAAGACUCAGAGACUAUGGUGAUAACUGCAAAGACUGACCGUGAAAACAUGGAGGUGGGAACACAGACGACGCGACACAGACUGCAUGAAACACAGAGGCUGUGUCCCAAUUAAGAGACUGCACACUUGAAGUACGUGCACUACACGUACUACGUACGGUGCGUACUAUAAGUACGAGAAGUGCGGAAGUGAGAGGCUUGUGAAAUGGGACGGUAUACGCUUCGUUGCGCUGUUCAGGUUGCCUAGCAACCAUGAUACUAACCGCGAGACACGUUACAUACAGCUUUGUUUGACAGAAAUGAAGGAGAAAAAUGUUUUGUUGGUCAUUCAUUUUUGUCAUGACAUCACUUUGAUUAGUUGAGUAUCUGAGGCUGAGACCACAGGACUGUAAAACAUGAUUGUUGGGCUUCAUUUCUGUGCUGAACAGUCAUUUAAGAUUAGUUAGUAAAUAACAAUUAGUUAAUGUUGUUCAUGAGACUAAAGUCAACUCACUGUGGCAAUGUAAAUAUAAUAUGGCCAAUAUUAUAGUAUUGUCAGAUUAUUAUGAAAAAAAAAAAACAAAAAACACCCAGCACGCCCCUGCGGAUGGUUUAUCCUUCAAGCUCGGGUCCUCUACCAGAGGCCUGGGAGCUUGAGGGUCCUGUGCAGUAUCUUAGCUGUUCCCAGGACUGCGCUCUUCUGGACAGAGAUCUCCGAUGUUGUUCCCGGGAUCUGCUGGAGACACUCGCCUAGCUUGGGAGUCACCGCACCUAGUGCUCCGAUUACCACGGGGACCACCAUCACCUUCACCCUCCACAUCUUCUCGAGUGCUUCUCUGAGCCCUUGGUAUUUCUCCAGCUUCUCGUGUUCCUUCUUCCUGAUAUUGCUGUCAUUCGGAACCGCUACAUCGAUCACUACGGCCGUCUUCUUCUGUUUGUCUACCACCACUAUGUCCGGUUGGUUAGCCACCACCAUUUUGUCCGUCUGUAUCUGGAAGUCCCACAGGAUCUUAGCUCGGUCAUUCUCCACCACCCUUGGGGGCAUCUCCCAUUUUGACCUCGGGACUUCCAGGUUAUACUCGGCACAGAUGUUCCUGUACACUAUGCCGG
ensembl:lncRNA